rnacentral:rRNA from 1 species
UACGGAGGGGGCAAGCGUUGUUCGGAAUUACUGGGCGUAAAGGGCGCGCAGGCGGCUGCUCAAGUCAGGCGUGAAAGGCCUGGGCUCAACCCGGGAAUUGCGCUUGAGACUGGGCUGGCUUGAGUGCGGGAGAGGAUGGUGGAAUUCCCAGUGUAGAGGUGAAAUUCGUAGAUAUUCGGAAGAACACCAGUGGCGAAGGCGGCUCACUGGACUGGUAUUGACGCUGAGGUGCGAAAGCGUGGGGAGCAAACAGG